rnacentral:lncRNA from 1 species
UUUUUUUUUUUUUUUUUAGGGCUGCAUCUGUGGCACAUGGUGAUUCACAGGAUAGGGGUCCAGUUGGAGCUGAAGCUGCUGGCCUACACCACAGCCACAGCAACAUGGGAUCUUAGAAUAGUCUGUGACCUUUACCACAGAUCACAGCAAUGCCAGAUCCUUAACCCACAGAGCAAGGCCAGAGAUCGAAACUGCAUCCUCACGGAUGCUGGUUUGGGUUUGUUAACUGCUGAGCCACGAUGGGAAUUCCAAAAUGAGCAUUUUAAACGUCUGCUUGGCUGGCUGAUUUCUUCUGUAAUCUCUGAUAAUUAUUUUUCAUAUAAGCAAUGUUUAAUAAAUAUCUUUACACCCAUUAGAUAGAUAGAUAAAUACAUUCAUAUAUGAGGUAAUCCAAUAAAAUGAAUAGAUUUAUAUUACAGCAUGAAUCAUACAUUUAUGAAUAGACAUAAUAGAAAUAAUUGAAACACAUAUAGUCAAUGUAAGAAGAGUUAAGAAUGGCAAGGUUUAUUGUAUGCCAAUAAAUUAACAAGAAAAAUCUUCAACUGAAAGAGUAAGUGGUUUCUUUAAAUGUGAAUCAGAUGUGUGUAUUCAGUAUGUGCAAAUUAGUUGGUAUGUUUUUGUGUGAGUAGGUAUGUUUUUGAGAGAGAGAUUAUGGACACAGAGACAGAGGUAGAGAAGACAGCAAAUACUUGAAUCAUAGAAAAAUGAGGAGAAGGGGAAGCUGAAAGAGGAAGAUUGUUCUGGACCCAGGCUCACAACAAACCCCAGCAAACCAAAUACCAGUACCUAAAUGUAAAUAGCAAGCACAGUUAAACAUUAAAGCAGCCCAGAAACCUAAAAAUGGAAAUUAUUUACAGAAAUAACAAGCAAAAACAAUGAAUAACAAGACUUUAAACCACCAAGUAAAAAAUGGUGAUGCAGCAUGUCUACAAAUGUCAAACAUUUAAAACAUCACAUGAUUUGGGGUAAUAGGGAUAAAUCGACUGAUAUUUCCUUGAAAGUAGCAACAAAGGGUCAUGUGCAAUUUUACUUAUUAUUUUUCCAUCUUCUAGCAUGUUGUUUGAAUCAUGUUCCUGCCUAAAAUAUAUCUAAUUAAAUAAAUGAAGCUACUGUAAUUACUGACAUAGUUAGGCACUUUCCUUCUAUAGAAUUUUUAAAUAUAGAAAUAUCUAAUCAGAAUAGCUCAAACUACUCUAUUUCAAAUGAGAAGAAACUCCCCUUGUGGUGAACUAGAAAUGGACCUCUGGCACAUAGAAUUUUUCUCAUGUGUUUUUCCUUCUUAUUAAAUUAAAUCCUUACUGAAGAGACCAGGGAAGUGGCAUUUACAGAGGCCUGGUCAAUCAUGGUCACACAUCCUGCUGAGACAUUACAGUUCCCACCAUGUGCACAGCCACUCAGUAGGGCCACGUACCUGAAACUAACAGGUGGGAAGUGGGAACAAAGAAGCUCACAUCCUCUGAGAUCACUGGGUAGGAUGACAUAGAUCUAUAUCCAUCCAUCCUUGGCAGCAGUGUGGAAACUUAUCUGAAUAACAAGUAAGUGCAAGACCCACAAAUAGGGAGAAUUUAAAUACGGAGAGAAAGACAGGGACAGAGAAACAGAUAGAGACAGAGAGUGAGAGAAAUGUCCUAGAGAUUAUUAUGUGAUUUUCUUAAUCAAAAAGCAAGGCCUGCACCCAGAAUCACCCCCUGGUCCCCAGCUGUACCAACCAGCAAGCUCCAUUUUUGCUUCAUCCUGUUUGAGCUGUCUUGUAUCUUGCAGUCCUUUGCAAUCUCAAGUGACCUACUUGUUGGGAAACAAACUCUUAGUGGGUUUCUUAUGUUCCACACUAUUGAAAGUGAGGCUCUGGCAGCUCUUAAUUCUGGAUCAUCUUCAUAAGGACGUUUGUAUUGUGAAUGGUAACAGGAGAGUCUCCCUCUAGAGCAAAUGGCAGACACACACACUUACUUCCCAUUAUAAAAGUGUAAAAGAGUCACAUCCCCUGAGGUGGACUACAUAUGUGGGUGUCACCUGAUCCACUCUCUGUCUCCCUGUUGAAACUGGAGCUCAAAGAAACCACGCAAAACUGCAGACACCCUGCCUGGUUCUGCUGCUCUCAGUAACAGUGUCCUUUGUCUCUGAGCCGGGAGUUUCAUGUCUUCUAUCAGGAUCCGUGAAACUGUGGCAGGAUGACAUGUCUUGUCAGCUUGCUAGUCAGGUAAAAUCACUGCUCCUUCCCAGUUCUUGACACUGAUACGUUCUCCUAAGCAGGAAGUAGGGUCAAUUUUAAUGAGAGAAAAAGUCCGCAUACAUAUUGAAAGAAGUAAAAUAAGUAUUUAUUUAAUUUUAAGUUGGAAAAAAGAUGAUUUUUUAUAUAAAGGAUACAUAUAUUAUUCACUAUUAUGUAAAGAUAAAUAAUGGUUCCUAGGUUAAUGAAAAAGAUAUAAUAACUCUUAAUUAUCAGGCCAGGGUACAUAUAAUUUAAACAGGCUGCAUCAUUGUCUAGAACAUGAUAUUUAAAGAUAAUCAAAAUAAUGUAAUUUUUAUUUUUAUUUUUUUACUUUCUAUUUUUUAUUAUAAUUGGUUUACUAUUUCUGUUCAUUCCUGCUAUAUAGCCAAGUGACCCUGUUAUACAUACAUAUACAUAUAUAUAUAAAUUAUUUUCCUCAUAUUAUCUUCUAUCAUAUUCUAUCACAAAUGACUAGAUAUAGUUCCCUGUGCUAUACAGCAGGACCUCAUUGCUCAUCCAUUGCAAAUGCAAUAGUUCUCAUCUACUAACACCAAACUCCCAGCCCAUCCUACUCCCCCCCCCACUUGGCAACCACAGGUCUGUUCUCUAUGCGCAUGAAUUUGUUUAUGUCCUGUAGAUAGGUUCAUUGUGCCAUACUUUAGAUUCUACUGAAGUAAGUCAGAAAGAGAAAGAAAAAUACCAUAUGAUAUUACAUAUCUGGAAUCUAAUAUAAGGCACAGAUGAACCUUUCACAGAAAAGAAACUCAUGGACUUGGAGAAUAGACUUGUGGUUGCCAAGGGGAGGGGGAGGGAGUGGGGUGAUUGGGGAGCUUGGGGUUAAUAGAUGAAAACUAUUGCCUUUGGAAUAGAUUAGCAAUGAGAUCCUGCUGUGCAGCACUGGGAACUAUGUAGUCACUUAUGAUGGAGCAUGAUAAUAUGCGAAAAUAGAAUGUAUACAUAUAUGUGUAGCUGGGUCACCAUGCUGUACAGUAGAAAAAAAAAUGUAUUGGGUAAAUAACAAUUAAAAAAAUAAAAAUAAAUCAACUGAAAAUAAAUAAAUAAAUAAAUACAAACAUAAAUCAAGGAAAUUAAAGAGGAUUCAAAGAAAUGGAAAGAUAUCCCAUGUUCCUGGAUUGGAAGAAUUAAUAUCAUCAAAUGGCCAUACUACCCAAAGCAAUCUACAGAUUUAAGACAAUCCCUAUCAAAUUAUCCAUAACAUUUUUCACAGAACUAGAAAAAACAAUCCAAAAUUUAUAUAGAACCAUAAAAGACCCAGAAUUACCAAAGCAAUUCUGAGGGGGAAAAAAAAAAGCAGGAGGCAUAACUCUUCCAGAUUUCAGGCAAUAUUACAAAGCUACAGUAAUCAAGACAGUGUGGUACUAGUACAAAAGCAGACAUACAGACCAAUGGAACAGAAUAGAGAACCCAUAAAUAAACCCUGACACCCAUGGUCAAUUAAUCUUUGACAAAGGAGGCAAAAAUAUAAAAUGGGAAUAAGACAGUCUCUUCAGCAAAUAGUGCUGGGAAAACUGUACAGCUGCAUGUAAAUCACUGAAACUGGAACACACCCUCACACCAUGAACAAAAAUAAACUUAAAAUGGCUUGAAGACGUAAACAUAAGAUAAGACAUCAUAAAACUCCUAGAAGAGAACACAGGCAAAACAUUCUCUGACAUCAAGUGUACAAAUGUUUUCUUAGGCAGUCUCCCAAGGCA